rnacentral:rRNA from 1 species
AUGAACGCUGGCGGCGUGCCUAAUACAUGCAAGUCGAGCGAACGGACGAGAAGCUUGCUUUUCUGAUGUUAGCGGCGGACGGGUGAGUAACACGUGGAUAACCUACCUAUAAGACUGGGAUAACUUCGGGAAACCGGAGCUAAUACCGGAUAAUAUUUUGAACCGCGUGGUUCAAAAGUGAAAGACGGUCUUGCUGUCACUUAUAGAUGGAUCCGCGCUGCAUUAGCUAGUUGGUAAGGUAACGGCUUACCAAGGCAACGAUGCAUAGCCGACCUGAGAGGGUGAUCGGCCACACUGGAACUGAGACACGGUCCAGACUCCUACGGGAGGCAGCAGUAGGGAAUCUUCCGCAAUGGGCGAAAGCCUGACGGAGCAACGCCGCGUGAGUGAUGAAGGUCUUCGGAUCGUAAAACUCUGUUAUUAGGGAAGAACAUAUGUGUAAGUAACUGUGCACAUCUUGACGGUACCUAAUCAGAAAGCCACGGCUAACUACGUG